CCAGGAAUUCGCCACCAAAAGUCGCAAGCCCAUGGGACGACGAUGCACAGGAUUUGUACCGGAGAUUCUCAGAUAUUUAAGACGUGAUUAAAAAGCAACAAACGAUUAACAAUCAGCAUCAAUAUAGAAGUUAAGAAUAAUGAAAGAUGACAAUAAUAUGUAUGUCACCAAUCAAAAACAGGUAAAUCUAUUAUCUAUCGGGGAACAACAUACUAAUCAGGCAGGGCAUUAAUAAGAAAAUUCUACCAAGGAAAUUGAAGAACAGAAAGCCUUUCCAAAGAGACAAACUAUACCAUACCAUAUUAAUUCUGAUAUGGUAAAAUUGAGAGGAAGACAGUCACAUUGAGAAAGAGUAUUAUUCACAUGGAGCACUUGAUACCCUACAAGAUUCCUGGGUUUCAACGACGAUUUUUGUGAUAUGCUUGUAUUUUAAUUUUAUUGCUUGAUCAUUGAUGUCUUGAUUUGAAACUAUUUGGCAUGUCUAAAGGAUAUUAGUUUUAUAUUUGAUAUUACAUAAAAUCCUAACCCCCAAAUGCAAACACCACAAAUGCAAACGAACAGAACGAUGAAACCCAAACAGAACGAUUUCAUUUUAUUCUGAUUUCACUCCAAUUACAGAAACGAACAGAAGGAUAGAAACCCAAAAAGAAAUAGGGGAGAUACAGCUAGAAACCCAACGAACAUACCUUCUCCAAAUUGAUUCCGGCGUCCGUUGAUGAUGCCCAGCGGGAAAAUCCGGCGAUAGGGGAGAUUGGAGAAAUCCGGCGAUAGUAGGAGAGUUUGAAUUUGGAGAAAGAUAAGAAUUUGUACACCUAUGCUGUGAGGGUGUGAGGUCGACGAUCA
rnacentral:lncRNA from 1 species